rnacentral:rRNA from 1 species
AUUGAACGCUAGCGGGAUGCUUUACACAUGCAAGUCGAGCGAGGGGGGGGGGGGAGAGUAGUAUAGGAGAACGUGCCCAGUAGCGGGGGAUAACUACGAGAAAGAGUGGAUAAUACCGCAUACUAUGGGGGCGGCAGAUAGGGGAGUAGCGAGGUGGUGGGGUAAAGGCUCACCAAGGCAAAGAUCCGUAGCUGGUGUGAGAUGACGACCAGCCACACUGGGACUGAGACACGGCCCAGACGCCUACGGGAGGCAGCGGUGGGGAAUUUGGGACAAUGGGGGAAACCCUGAUGCAGCCAGCCCGCGUGUAUGAGAAGGCCUUCGGGUUGUAAAGUACUUUUGGCAGAGAGGCGGUAUUUGCAGAAUAAGCACCGGCUAACUACGUGCCAGCAGCCGCGGUAAUUC